AAAUUGGAGUCAGACACAGACCCAGAUCCCUGAAAAAGAAGAGGCGUGUAAUGUGAGGCUCCCCAUGCCUUGUGAUCGGACUGAAUUUCGACUAGCCAUCGGGAUUUGCUUCGGAUCUUCAGACUCUGAGACGGAGAUUACUGCAUUUGGGACCUGCCCUUGGAUGGAGGAUACAGUGGAACCUGAUGUGACAAUUGAUACAUUAGAAGACAUGUUGGAGAAGUAUGUACAGCUGUACAAGCCUAAUGCCAGCAAGAAGCAGGACAGCUGUGAUAUGGUUGUUGUGGCGGGCUACGAAAAAGGUAAUUGAAUACAAGGGGGAGGCAUGUGCCGGGCUACAGACCCCGCAAGACAGUUUUAAAAUCUGCCAGGAAAGUUCAGAGAAGGAAGUAAGGCAAGCACAAGUAAUGCAGACUCAGUUGAAACAGCUGGGAAAAGAAACUAGAGAACUGGAAAAGAGACUGAUGGAAUGGGGACACAGGCAAGGCUCUGUGGCAUCAGAGCUGGGAAC